rnacentral:rRNA from 1 species
GUGUAUAGAGUGGCGAACGGGUGAGUAACACGUGACCAACCUGCCUCUUACAUUGGGACAACCAAAAGAAAUUCUGGCUAAUACCAAAUACUCCGCACAUAUCACAUGAUGUAUGCGGGAAAGCUUUUGCGGUAAGAGAUGGGGUCGCGGCCCAUUAGGUAGACGGCGGGGUAGAAGCCCACCGUGCCGAUGAUGGGUAGCCGGGUUGAGAGACCGACCGGCCACAUUGGGACUGAGAUACGGCCCAGACUCCUACGGGAGGCAGCAGUGGGGAAUAUUGCGCAAUGGGGGAAACCCUGACGCAGCAACGCCGCGUGCGGGAUGAAGGCCUUCGGGUUGUAAACCGCUUUCAGCAGGGAAGACAUCGACGGUACCUGCAGAAGAAGCCCCGGCUAACUACGUGCCAGCAGCCGCGGUAAUACGUAGGGGGCGAGCGUUAUCCGGAUUCAUUGGGCGUAAAGCGCGCGCAGGCGGUUGCUCAAGCGGAACCUCUAAUCUCGGGGCUUAACCUCGAGCCGGGUUCCGAACUGGACGACUCGAGUGCGGUAGAGGCAGAUGGAAUUCCCGGUGUAGCGGUGGAAUGCGCAGAUAUCGGGAAGAACACCAACGGCGAAGGCAGUCUGCUGGGCCGUCACUGACGCUGAGGCGCGAAAGCUGGGGGAGCGAACAGGAUUAGAUACCCUGGUAGUCCCAGCCGUAAACGAUGAGCGCUGGGUGUGGGAGAUUA